ACCGCGGGACGAGCGAGCUCCUCCGUCGCACUUCCGCAACAAACGGCUGACCGACAAAACGCGCUAUGCCCACACGGGCUACGCCGCGCCACGAGAUGGUACACCAGGUGAAGGAAACAAUCCCUAUAAAAAUCCACGCCCGUUCCCGAUUCAACAACAGAAGAAGCAUCAGCAGAGGAGGAAUAACACAUGCGCAGAACGGGGCCAUCAAUGCGGCACGCUACCACGACACCCUGAUCAAACUCGGGGCCCACCAUACAACAAAAGAAACCAGGGCUUUUGAGUGAAGGUGUUGUACUCUUGGAUGACAAUGCAAAACCCCACACAAGGCUGACACCAGAUCAGAUUCGUCGCUUCAUAUGGGAGAUUGGAUCACCUACCGUACAGCCCCAAUCUUGCUCCACCGGACUUUCUACGGUUUGCUGCACUGAAAGCUGCACUCUCGGUACAUCCCUUGCAAAACAAUGCUGAGGUGGAGCAGGCGGUGCAACAAUUCCUCGCAUCGUAGGGCACAGAGUUUUACCGGAGUGGUUUCUUUGAACCAAUUGCACGCUACAACAAAUGUCUCAAUGUCAGUGGCGACUAUGUGGAAAAAUAGUGCAAGGCAUAUAGUUCAUGAUGGCAUGGUCUCUUUUCUUGUCAAUAAAGUUUCAGUGUGAAAAUAAACAACAAAACUUACUUUUGGAACAUCCCUCAUACAUAUGUUUCUAAUGAUUCCUUUGCGCUUUGAAUAGGCAAGGCUUCCUAAUGUGCAAAGUAAUGACAAAUUUGCUGCCAUUAUUAAUACCAGAAUGUGAACACUGUUUCCAAGUAAUGGUAAAAACCACUAUUCAUUAUUCACAAAGUAUUGAAUAUCCAUUUCAUAUUCAAUUUGGUCUCAAAGAUUAAUAUAUGGUCAACCCUACGUAACUCAGCGAGGCCUGGCUGACAUAACAGCAUAGACAAAUGGCCACUCCACUCUUUAGCUGACAAAGGCCCUCAUUUACGAUGGCAUUCACUAAUUGACGAAGUGGCUUUUUGAAAAAAAGAAAAAACUUGGAUUCUCCAGGCAGCUUCCCUACCUAUCAAGUCAACGAUGAAAUGGUGUGCUUGGUGCCACAGCUCGGCAAAACACAGCCCCAUGUGUGCCCCAGUGCUAGCAACAACAUAAUGGGGUGGCCACCCUGGAACCCCAAUUGUUGAACCCCAGGUCUCCAAAUGUUAAAGCUCCAGCAGAGACCACUGGUAUACUGCUCUGCUUGCAGGAAUAGCCCUGUAUUGCAAUUAUUAGCUAUAAACCAUUAGCAGCACUAAAAAAAAAAAAAAAAAAAAAAAAAAAAAAAAAAAAAAAUCGGGCACCAGACCUUGUAAGAAUUUUCUCUCAAUUCUGUUUCAUUGUCUGUUGCACCAAAUGACUUAACAAUAAAAUGCAAAUAUUCUGGAAUGCUGUCAAUACUUUUAAAUUCAUAAAGUUGAGUAACUUCUACUGAAGCAACAGUUUAUUCCGGCUAUUUCGUGCAUCUCUUUUUACUCAGCUAAAGGCUAAAAGCAUAUUUGAGAACUUCUUUACUUAUUUUAAAAAUACUGCAGGCAGCAGUGCUGCCCAAGCAGGAGUUUUUUUUUUUUUUACAUCAACUGCAAUGUCAAAGAAUUCACAAAGGCAUUUACAUUUGUACGAUCAACAAUGGACGCUGGGAGACAAUUCCACUCUUCAAUGGUGCGCGGAAAAAAACUCCUGAAACAUCUUCGUCCUUGCCAAAUACGGGCGGAUAACAUUUGAGUGAUUAAUUAUAGAUGACCUGUGUUGUGCCCGGAAAAGACAAGUUUCAAGCAGCAGACUAAUUCUGUUACGAUGGAUCAAAUAAAGCAAUCUUAGUCUUGCAAUCUUUCGUCGGACAGGGAGGGGCUCCAGAUUCAGUCCCUGCAGCAUAUCAGUAACAGAUGAAGAAGAUCCAGAUACAAUAAAUCUAGCAGAGAGGUGCUGAAUUUGUUCUACUUGUGCAAUAUCUUUAACACAG